ACAACCGUCUACCCACUGAUUUGGCUUGUCAAGCAUUUGACGCCAAAGUCGAAUCUCUUCGCCCUUUGAGUGUGUUCUUUAGAGAUCAGAGUAGGAUUUUGCUGAUUUCGAUGAUCCUCAACAGUACAGGGAUCCGAUCGAUUUCGUUUCUCAUCGACCGCUGCGAGAUUUUUCGCUUCGCG